rnacentral:rRNA from 1 species
UACGUAGGUGGCAAGCGUUGUCCGAAAUUACUGGGUGUAAAGGGAGCGUAGGCGGGUAAUUAAGUUGGAUGUUUAAUCUAUGGGCUCAACCCAUAUACGCAUUCAAAACUGAUUAUCUUGAGUGAGGUAGAGGCAGAUGGAAUUCCUAGUGUAGCGGUGGAAUGCGUAGAUAUUAGGAGGAACACCAGUGGCGAAGGCGGUCUGCUGGGCCUUAACUGACGCUGAGGCUCGAAAGCGUGGGGAGCAAACAGG